CCUGGCGACCCGAUCACGUGACCCGGCCACAACUCCGGCGUCCGGUCACCCCACGACGGCGAACCGGCACCGUUCUUUUCGUCUCGCUGUCUCCGUCACGGUGCUGUCCCUAUCUUGAUCGUUCGUCGACUGUGGAGAUCGAAUCGACAUCGAGAAACCAGACUGCUCCGGUGAUUUCGUGGCUAUUUCCGACGACUCCGGUCACCGAUUUGUCUGCAUGUGGUAUGAAACAUAACCCUCUCGUCGUUCUCUACAUCGUGCUAUGAUUGGUUUUUGGUUUCCAUCAAGUUUUAAUGAUUGAUGUUUUGGGUGUCUACGGGUUUUGUCGGAAACUGAGUGCACGACGGCUUUUCCAGUGCUUCUUGGCCUCUUGGGCUGACGUUGAUAUUGUUCCUGGUCCAGAACUUAGAGUGAGGCUUGAUCUUGUUGAAAAGCAGAAGUUGUAUCUAAUUGGAACGAAGAAGAAGAAUCUCGUCGUGGUAGUUUUCAUCUCUGCUGUACUUUUCGCUGCAAGACAUGGUUUGAUUGAAUGAAUAAUCUGCCUUCUACUUGGUUGGAGAGGACUCCAGUUACCCGAGGAAAGGAAGGUACGUGAAUCACGGACAACGUGAGUUAAACGACUUCGGAAUCCAGGUAGGGGAUUCGGGGCCUUUCCCGGUUAGUCGCUUUCUUAUUUUAUAUAAAGUAAUGCAUGAUGCAUGUUAUGGUAUGGUUAUGUUUAAAUGCAAUGCAUACUAACCAUUCCAUGAGAGAUAUCGUUGAUGGCUUGAGAGCGAAAGGGGCACUGACUUCCUUGGGUUCGAUUCCCUAAACUUCCGGAGGGUUAGCUACACCGGUCGGACGGUGCGCGAUCAUAAUGACGACCCGAUUCCGUGUGUGUAGCUAGGUAGCGGACGCUCUCGCUACGCUUACCUGGUUAUGAAUUGAAUUGAGGUAAGGUCGUGUAGUUGGUCUAUGGGACCGGCCAUCAGGUAUUGUUUUGGGCCCGUAUUUACUUGAAGUUCAUGCAUCGGAUUUUAUAUCGGAAAAUCAUUUAAGUUGUCGUUCUUAAAGAAAAUGCAUUUACAUUUGUUUUUAUACUGGCGCCACAAAAGUUUAUUUAAAGGUUUUCAAAUCUAGCCAGGGUGAAGCCCCUGUUGAGCAGCGAGGACGAAAGCUUACCCCUACAACAGUGUGGAUGCAGGUAUUGUGUACUGGUGACGGGAUUGACGGACGGAGCGGGUGUGUGGAGUCAACUUCGGUAAAUGGUUGUAAUGGGAACAGGUUCCGAAGUUUAAUUCCAUUUCUUGGAUGUUUAGUGUUAUCUCAGAAGUAGUUGAUUGCUCAUUUAUUCUAAAUUCGAUACUCGGAUAUGUCGAUUAUUUCUUGACUCCUUGUAGACUCAAGCUUUAGACGAACAAAUAUUUGAAAUAAAA